rnacentral:rRNA from 1 species
AUGAGCCAAGUUUAGAAGCUUCUUUAAAGAGCUUCAUAGCAAGAUUAAACUGAAGAGUUUGAUCAUGGCUCAGAUUG